CUGACCUGCCCAAUGAGGAAUUCAAUGGCCGCAGUAUUUUAACUGUGCUAAGGUAGCAUAAUCAUUUGUCUUUUAAUUGAGGGCUGGAAUGAAAGGUUGGACGAGAUAUUAACUUUCUUUAAUUUAAUUUUAAGAAUUUAAUUUUUGAGUUAAAAAGCUUAAAUUUAUUUGUUGGACGAGAAGACCCUAUAGAUCUUUAUAAUUUUAUAUUUUGGUAAUUUGGUGAUUUUAUUUAUUGUAAGUAGAAGAAUUAUUUUGUUGGGGUGACUGUAGAAUUUUAUUAACUUCUAUUAUUUUUAUUUCAUUGAUUGAUGUUUUUUUGAUCCAUAUAUUUAUGAU
rnacentral:rRNA from 1 species